rnacentral:rRNA from 1 species
GUCGAGAAUAAUUCACAAUGGGGGAAACCCUGAUGGUGCAACGCCGCGUGGAGGAUGAAGGUCUUCGGAUUGUAAACUCCUGUCAUCUGGGAGUAAGACCUGACGGUGAAUAGCCGGCAGGGUUGAUAGUACCAGAAGAGGAAGGGACGGCUAACUUCGUGCCAGCAGCCGCGGUAAUACGAAGGUCCCAAGCGUUGUUCGGAAUCACUGGGCGUAAAGGGAGCGUAGGCGGCGUGGUAAGUCAGAUGUGAAAUCCCGGGGCUCAACCCCGGAACUGCAUCCGGUACUGCCAUGCUUGAGGGUUGGAGAGGUAGCUGGAAUUCUCGGUGUAGCAGUGAAAUGCGUGGAUAUCGAGAGGAACACUCGUGGCGAAGGCGAGCUACUGGACAACAUCUGACGCUGAGGCUCGAAGGCCAGGGGAGCAAAAGGGAUUAGAAACCCUAGUAGUCC